rnacentral:tRNA from 1 species
GCCUGGGUGGCUCAGUUGAUUGAGCAUCUGACUUCGGUUCAGGUUACAAUCUCAUGGUUCAUGAGUUCAAGCCCCAUGUCAGGCU